rnacentral:rRNA from 1 species
AAUAGCCUAACGGCUGAACCAGCAACUUGGAGGAAUGUAAGGCAAUAGCCUAAUGCAUUAUUUUAAUGUUUAAUCGACCAUGUCGAAUAAAAUUCUAGGUAGAGUUUUGACAAUGACAUUCUCUAUCUAUGUGUCUUGACCAAAUUACGUGCCAGCAGUCGCGGUAAUACGUAAAAGACUAGUGUUAUUCAUCUUUAAUAGGUUUAAAGAGUACCAAGACGGUUAAUAAAGCCCCUAAAGGGUACAAGUUAACUAGAGUUAUAUGAAAGGGAGCUCUUAGGUACUGUUGAGUGUAGAGAUGAAAUUCUGUGAUACCAGAUGAUUGGCACGGGUCUAUGCGAAGGCAUCUCCUUAUGUAAUAACUGACGUUGUAGGACGAAGGCUUUUGAAGUGAACAGGAUUCGAUACCCCAGUAAUCUAGGCAGAAAAUGAUGAGUGUCAUAGGUUAAAUAUAAUUUAGUCUAUAAAUGAAAGUGUAAGCAYUCCACCUCAAGAGUAAUUUGGCAACAUUGGAACUGAAAUCAUUAGACCGUUUCUGAAACCAGUAGUGAAGUAUGUUKUUUAAUUUGAUGAUCCGCAAAGAACCUUACCACUUUUAAUAAUGUUAAAAUUAUUAUUUUUUUUUAUAACAUUGUUAAAAUUAUUAUCUUGAAUAAAUAUUUUUUUAAUAUUUACAAGCGUUGCACGGCUGUCUUCAGUUAAUGUCGUGAGAUUUUGGUUAGUUCCAUUAAAUUAACGAAAACCCUUACUUUAUUUUGAUAUAAAGUUGUUCACCGUUAUAUUGGAUAUGAUAAUAGGGACCAGGACAAGUCAUCAUGACCUAAAUAUUGU